UACGUAGGUGGCAAGCGUUGUCCGGAUUUACUGGGCGUAAAGGGCGUGCAGGCGGUUUGUUAAGUUCAGGGUGAAAGCUCCCGGCUCAACUGGGAGAGGUCCUUGGAUACUGGCAGACUUGAGGGAGGUAGAGGAGAGUGGAAUUCCCGGUGUAGUGGUGAUAUGCGUAGAUAUCGGGAGGAACACCAGUGGCGAAGGCGGCUCUCUGGGCCUUUCCUGACGCUGAGACGCGAAAGCGUGGGGAGCGAACAGG
rnacentral:rRNA from 1 species